rnacentral:rRNA from 1 species
GAUCGGCCACAUUGGGACUGAGACACGGCCCAAACUCCUACGGGAGGCAGCAGUAGGGAAUCUUCCACAAUGGACGAAAGUCUGAUGGAGCAACGCCGCGUGAGUGAUGAAGGUUUUCGGAUCGUAAAACUCUGUUGUAAGGGAAGAACAAGUGCGUUAGGUAAUGAACGCACCUUGACGGUACCUUAUCAGAAAGCCACGGCUAACUACGUGCCAGCAGCCGCGGUAAUACGUAGGUGGCAAGCGUUGUCCGGAUUUAUUGGGCGUAAAGCGCGCGCAGGUGGUUUCUUAAGUCUGAUGUGAAAGCCCCCGGCUCAACCGGGGAGGGUCAUUGGAAACUGGGAAACUUGAGUGCAGAAGAGGAUAGUGGAAUUCCAAGUGUAGCGG